AACGAACGCUGGCGGCAUGCCUAACACAUGCAAGUCGAACGAGACCUUCGGGUCUAGUGGCGCACGGGUGCGUAACGCGUGGGAACCUGCCCUUAGGUUCGGAAUACCUCCCCGAAAGGGGUGCUAAUACCGGAUAAUGUCUUCGGACCAAAGAUUUAUCGCCUUUGGAUGGGCCCGCGUUGGAUUAGCUAGUUGGUAGGGUAAAAGCCUACUAAGGCGACGAUCCAUAGCUGGUCUGAGAGGAUGAUCAGCCACACUGGGACUGAGACACGGCCCAGACUCCUACGGGAGGCAGCAGUGGGGAAUAUUGGACAAGGGGCGAAAGCCUGAUCAAGCAAUGCCGCGUGAGUGAUGAAGGCCUUAGGGUUGUAAAGCUCUUUUACCCGGGAUGAUAAUGACAGUACCGGGAGAAUAAGCUCCGGCUAACUCCGUG
rnacentral:rRNA from 1 species